rnacentral:pre_miRNA from 1 species
UCUUGCACAUAUUUCGUGCAUCGGGCCUCUAGUAAAGUUAUAAAAAUACUAGAGGCCCAAUGCAUGAAAUUUGUGCAAGAGU